UUUCCGUAGGUGAACCUGCGGAAGGAUCAUUAACGAGUUAGGGUCUUCCAGGCCCGACCUCCCAACCCUAUGUUUAUUGAACCUCUGUUGCUUCGGCGGACCCGCCUCACGGCCGCCGGAGGACCGCUGCAAGGCGUCCCCUGGCCAGCGUCCGCCGAUGGCCAACCACUUAAACUCUGAAUGAAUCGUGUCAUAUGUCUAAGUCUAUGAUUAAAUUAAAGCAAAACUUUCAACAACGGAUCUCUUGGUUCUG
rnacentral:misc_RNA from 1 species